rnacentral:rRNA from 1 species
AUUGAACGCUGGCGGCAUGCUUUACACAUGCAAGUCGAACGGUAACAGGCCGCAAGGUGCUGACGAGUGGCGAACGGGUGAGUAAUGCAUCGGAACGUGCCCAGUCGUGGGGGAUAACGCAGCGAAAGCUGCGCUAAUACCGCAUACGAUCUAUGGAUGAAAGCGGGGGACCGUAAGGCCUCGCGCGAUUGGAGCGGCCGAUGUCGGAUUAGGUAGUUGGUGGGGUAAAGGCUCACCAAGCCAACGAUCUGUAGCUGGUCUGAGAGGACGACCAGCCACACUGGGACUGGGACACGGCCCGGACUCCUACGGGAGGCAGCAGUGGGGAAUUUUGGACAAUGGGCGCAAGCCUGAUCCAGCAAUGCCGCGUGCAGGAAGAAGGCCUUCGGGUUGUAAACUGCUUUUGUACGGAACGAAACGGUCCGGGUUAAUACCCUGGGCUAAUGACUGUACCGUAAGAAUAAGCACCGGCUAACUACGUGCCAGCCGCCGCCGUAAUAC